AGGAAGUAAAAGUCGUAACAAGGUCUCCGUUGGUGAACCAGCGGAGGGAUCAUUACCGAGUUUACAACUCCCAAACCCCAAUGUGAACGUUACCAAUCUGUUGCCUCGGCGGGAUUCUCUUGCCCCGGGCGCGUCGCAGCCCCGGAUCCCAUGGCGCCCGCCGGAGGACCAACUCCAAACUCUUUUUUUCUCUCCGUCGCGGCUCCCGUCGCGGCUCUGUUUUAUUUUUGCUCUGAGCCUUUCUCGGCGACCCUAGCGGGCGUCUCGAAAAUGAAUCAAAACUUUCAACAACGGAUCUCUUGGUUCUGGCAUCGAUGAAGAACGCAGCGAAAUGCGAUAAGUAAUGUGAAUUGCAGAAUUCAGUGAAUCAUCGAAUCUUUGAACGCACAUUGCGCCCGCCAGUAUUCUGGCGGGCAUGCCUGUCCGAGCGUCAUUUCAACCCUCGAACCCCUCCGGGGGGUCGGCGUUGGGGAUCGGCCCCUCACCGGGCCGCCCCCGAAAUACAGUGGCGGUCUCGCCGCAGCCUCUCCUGCGCAGUAGUUUGCACACUCGCACCGGGAGCGCGGCGCGGCCACAGCCGUAAAACACCCCAAACUUCUGAAAUGUUGACCUCGGAUCAGGUAGGAAUACCCGCUGAACUUAAGCAUAUC
rnacentral:rRNA from 1 species